AUACGGAAGGUCCGGGCGUUAUCCGGGUUUAUUGGGUUUAAAGGGAGCGCAGGCGGAGAUGCAAGCGUGACGUCAAAUUUCGGGGCUCAACCCCGUCUCGCGUCGCGAACUGCGUCCCUUGGUUGCGGGAAGGGGAGGCGGAACUCGUGGUGUAGCGGUGAAAUGCAUAGAUAUCACGAAGAACUCCGAUCGCGAAGGCAGCCUUCCGGCCCGUCAACGACGCUCAUGCUCGAAGGUGCGGGUAUCAAACAGGAUUAGAUACCCUGGUAGUCCGCACAGUAAACGAUGGACACCCGCGGUUUGGCCUAUAUGGCUGAGCCGCCAAGCGAAAGCGUUAAGUGUCCCACCUGGGGAGUACGCCGGCAACGGUGAAACUCAAAGGAAUUGACGGGG
rnacentral:rRNA from 1 species